ACUUCUACACCAACCCCAUCUAUUUCGUAGCAGACUCUGCCUAUUUCUCUGGAGAAUUCCUCAUUUAGAAAAGAGAACGAACAUCGGAAGAAGGGUGAGAGUCUUUGUCGCGGUUAUGGCUAUGCUUAAGAAGGUUUGGGGAUCAGUGUAUAACUGGUCGAGUUCGAGGUCCAAUUCGACCUACCCCAUGUCCUCUUCUUCAUCAUCAGUGCUAUCGUCUAUGGGCGCAUUCGAUCCAAUACCUACGGACAUAUUGAUACAAAUACUACGAUUUCUUGAACCAAAAGACACAAUCAAAUUAAGCUUAACUUGCAAAUGUUGGAAAUUGCUCGUCUCGGAUAAUCGUCUCUGGAUUUUCUUCCUUCAGAACCAAAAAGAACCAUGGGAGUCCAUUUUCUUUGCCGAAACCACUUUGAGGUCUGGUUAUCCUUUCCAUCAAACAGGGGAGUUGUCCUUCAUGCGAAUUUAUAGCCAAAGAGAACAAGUCCCUGGCUCUGUUAUAAUUGAUGGUGGCUCUGGCUAUUGCAAGUUUGGCUGGAGCAAAUAUGGUGCUCCAUCCGGGCGUUCGGCCACAUUCCUAGAGUUUGGAAACAUUGAGACUCCAAUGUACUCGAGGCUUAGAAAUUUUUUCGCAACUAUUUAUAGCAGGAUGCAUGUAAAAACAUCUGCACAGCCAGUUGUUGUUUCCCUUCCACUCUGCCAUUAUGAUGAUACUGAAUCUGCCAAAGCAUCAAGAAGGCAGCUUAAAGAAGCCAUCUAUUCUGUCUUGUUUGACAUGAAUGUUCCUGCUGUCUGUGCCAUCAACCAGGCAACUUUAGCUUUAUAUGCAGCAAGACGAACUUCAGGAAUUGUUGUAAAUAUUGGUUUCCAAGUCACAUCUGUUGUUCCAAUUUUUCGCGGUAAGGUAAUGCGCAAAGCUGGUGUAGAAGUGAUAGGACUGGGAGCAAUGAAACUUACAGGAUUUCUCAGGGAUCUGAUGCAGCAGCACAAUAUAAACCUUGAAUCACUAUACACUGUCCGUACACUGAAAGAGGAGCUGUGUUAUGUGGCUGCUGAUUAUGAAGCUGAGCUCUCUAAAGAUACACAAGCUUCAAUGGAAGUUGCAGGUGAAUGGUUUACUCUCUCAGAAGAACGCUUUAAAACUGGGGAGAUCUUAUUUAGGCCACGUCUUGGGGGCGUGGUUGCAAUGGGUUUAGGCCAAGCUGUAGCGCUUUGUAUGGAACAUUGCCAAGCACAAGAGUUGGCAGGUGAUGAUGCUUGGUUCAAGACUGUAGUUUUGUCCGGGGGAAGUGCAUGUUUACCGGGACUCCCAGAAAGGUUACAUAAGGAACUUAAUGAGCUUCUUUGCCCAUCAAUUUCGAAUGGAGUAAGAAUCAUUCCUCCUUACGAUGCAGACACUGCAUGGUUUGGAGCAAAGCUUAUUGCCAAUAUGUUUCCUUGUGAGGGUUGGAUUGUCAUCAUUUUCAGGGAUGUUGAAUGUGCCACUCACAUUUAUGCAUAAUCCGGCACAUAUGCAGUUAUACAUAAACCCAGUUGGUGGUUCCAUGUCCUUAGUUGAGUAACUUCCCCAGGUCUUGGUGUGUGACAAAGAAGCAGUUCCGGCGCAAGUCUAAACUCAACCUGUGGUAGAGAUUUUUUAAUUUUUCUUGCUAGAAUGCAUUUAGGCAACCACACAUUAAUUCUUUUGUAAUAGUUUGUUAAGCAUAAAAAAAUAAGCUCUUUAACAGGUAAUUUAUAGUUGUAUCCAUUUGCAGUCUACAGGGUACCCAAAUUUAUAUUUGUAUCAUAUCAAAUAAUAGCUGGUAACGAAUGAAACCACUUUUUUUAUGAGCCCGGAUGGCUAGAGUGGGGGCUCAAGUGCAA